UACAGAGGGUGCAAGCGUUAAUCGGAUUUACUGGGCGUAAAGGGCGCGUAGGUGGUUGUUUAAGUGAGAUGUGAAAGCCCCGGGCUCAACCUGGGAACUGCAUCUUAUACUGGGCAACUGGAGUACAUGAGAGGGUAGUGGAAUUUCCGGUGUAGCGGUGAAAUGCGUAGAUAUCGGAAGGAACACCAGUGGCGAAGGCGGCUACCUGGCAUGAUACUGACACUGAGGCGCGAGAGCGUGGGGAGCAACAGG
rnacentral:rRNA from 1 species